AUGGUCACAAUAUACAUAAUAUAUAUACAUAUAUAUGUACAUAUGUAUUUUAAUUUUGAAAUGAAGCAGGACCCUAUGGUCCUCUCUCCCCAUGUCCUCUGCCUGCAUUUUGCUGUGGGAAACUUUAGUCAAAGAAUAAGUUUAAUCAGAGACAUGAAAACAUGCAGAAACAAAGAAAAACAAAGGAGCCCAAACAAAAAUAAUGUAGUCACUGAGCAAAGUCAAGGCCCUUUAGUGCCUUCUCAAGGGCCAUAGAUAAUAUUCUGCGCCAUAUCCUGUGAGCUGUCUAAUAGAUACUGAAACCCCCACCAGGUGGAAGGAGUUAACUACGUGAUGACCAGGCUGUACCCACGACAUAAGCUGCCCCAAUUCCAAGAACUGGCCUCAAAGAAAUGGAAACAAACUGCCCCUGGAAGUGACGAUGAGCUGUACCUAAAACAAUCAAGAUGACGCUGGUCAGACCACCAAUGACAGAUUUCAAGACAACCGUCAGAGCUGACUGUGCUGUCUCUGCACGUAGCCCCCUCCCUCGGCCUACAAAAGCUCUUGGCCCACGGUUGUCAGUGGCAGACAGUUGGCCUUUGGACAGACGUCUGCCCUCCCCACCAGCUGCCAGCAUCUGAAAUAAAGCAAACUUUCCUUCCCACCAACCUGGCUUGUUUAUUGGCUUUUGAAUGGUGAGCAGCCAGACCCCACUUUUUGGUAAUAAUUUCACAUACUUAAUUUCAUAUAGAUUAAAAUCCUGUAGGAAAAUAUGGUGGACAAAGACGAAAGACAAGCAAGAAACGAAAGAAAAUAUUUACAACACAUAAGACAAAGAAAUGAUUUCUUAAAUAUUUAAAGAAUUCCUAUAUAUUAAAUUUGAAAACCUGAUAAAACAUAAAGAACAAGAAGAGAUAUGUAGAACAGAUAAAUCCAUAGACAGGAGAUAGACUAGUGGUUGCCAGGGACUGCCUGGGGGAAAGGGGAGUGAGGAGCGGCGGCACUGGGUAUGGGACUUCCUUCCAGGAUGAUGAGAGCAUUUUGGAACUUGACAGAGGUGGGGGUUGCACAAUAUUGGAAAUACACCAAAUGCCACUGGACUGUUCACCUUAAAAUGGUUAAUUUUGUGCUAUAUGAAUUUCACACCAAAAAAUUAUGUUUUAAAAAGAAAACAAAAGAUGUUUCUCAGAAGAGAAAAAGCAGGUGGCUUCUUAAUUGAUCAAAAGCUACUUGACCUUACUUAUAAUGUUAAAUAUGCAAAUUAAAAAUUCUCUGUGGGGAGGGAACUGACAAUAGCUAUCAGUUUUCAAAUUCAUAUCUCUAACCCAGCAAUUCCUUUUCUAAACAUUUAAACUUGCAAGUGAAUGUAAAACACAGAUACUGGGAUAUUCACUGCACUACUGUUUAUAGUGAUG
rnacentral:lncRNA from 1 species